AUUGAACGCUGGCGGUAUGCUUAACACAUGCAAGUCGAACGGUAACAGGUCUAGCUUGCUAGAUGCUGACGAGUGGCGGACGGGUGAGUAAUGCGUAGGAAUCUGCCUUAUAGCGGGGGAUAACCUGAGGAAACUCAGGCUAAUACCGCAUGUGCCUUACGGGGUAAAGCAGGGGACCUUUCGGGGCCUUGCACUAUAAGAGGAGCCUGCGUCGGAUUAGCUUGUUGGUGGGGUAAAGGCCUACCAAGGCAACGAUCCGUAGCUGGUCUGAGAGGAUGAUCAGCCACACUGGGACUGAGACACGGCCCAG
rnacentral:rRNA from 1 species